GAUGAAGAACUUAGCGAAAUGCGAUAAGUAGUGUGAAUUGCAGAAUUCAGUGAAUCAUCGAAUCUUUGAACGCACAUUGCGCCCCUUGGUAUUCCAUGGGGCAUGCCUGUUCGAGCGUCAUUUGUACCUUCAAGCUCUGCUUGGUGUUGGGUGUUUGUCUCGCCUCUGCGUGUAGACUCGCCUCAAAACAAUUGGCAGCCGGCGUAUUGAUUUCGGAGCGCAGUACAUCUCGCGCUUUGCACUCAUAACGACGACGUCCAAAAGUACAUUUUUACACUCUUGACCUCGGAUCAGGUAGGGAUACCCGCUGAACUUAAGCAUAUCAAUAAGCGGAGGA
rnacentral:misc_RNA from 1 species